CCAAACUUGGUCAUUUAGAGGAAGUAAAAGUCGUAACAAGGUUUCCGUAGGUGAACCUGCGGAAGGAUCAUUACUGGAUUUCAAAGGCGGCGACUGUGCUGGCCCUUCGGGGCAUGUGCACGUCGUGGCCAAAACCCAUUCAAACCCUUGUGAACCCACUUGCGGAGGAGCUCGCAGAAGCUGGAAAACCCCCCCUGACGCUGGAUGACGGCCGAAGGAUUUUACAGCGUGUGUGAAGCUGCUCGCAACCUUUUUAUACACUCUUCUUUGCGUAUGUAUUGGAAGGAUCAUAUAAAAAUGUAAUACAACUUUCAACAACGGAUCUCUUGGCUCUCGCAUCGAUGAAGAACGCAGC
rnacentral:misc_RNA from 1 species